rnacentral:misc_RNA from 1 species
UUUGUCAUACGUUGAGUAGUUCAACACUGUACCAUUCAACUUUUCACUAAAAUAUGCAAUAGGAUGUCUCUCCUGCAUCAAAACAACACCUUUCCCAAUCUUAGAAGCUUCACAUUCUAUUUCAAAUGUUUCAGUGAAAUUAGAAAGACUUAGUAACGAGGCAGAACAUAACUUAUCUUUAAUUAAGUUAAAAGCACAGUUUUGUUCCUCACCCCAUGUAAAACCAAC